ACUCAAAUGAAUAGACGGGGGCCCGCACAAGCGGUGGAGCAUGUGGUUUAAUUCGACGCAACGCGAAGAACCUUACCUGGGCUCGAACGGCUUCUCAACGGCAGUGGAAACAUUGCUAUCCCGCAAGGGAGUGGAGUCGAGGUGCUGCAUGGCUGUCGUCAGCUCGUGUCGUGAGAUGUUGGGUUAAGUCCCGCAACGAGCGCAACCCUUGUCCUGUGUUGCCAGCAUUCAGUUGGGCACUCUCAGGAGACCGCCAGCGAUAAGUUGGAGGAAGGUGGGGAUGACGUCAAGUCAUCAUGGCCUUUAUGUCCAGGGCUACACACGUGCUACAAUGGGCGGUACAAACCGACGCCAACCCGCGAGGGGGAGCAAAUCGGAAAAAACCGUUCUCAGUUCGGAUCGCAGGCUGCAACUCGCCUGCGUGAAGCUGGAAUCGCUAGUAAUGGUAUAUCAGAAUGAUACCGUGAAUACGUUCCCGGGCCUUGUACACACCGCCCGU
rnacentral:rRNA from 1 species